rnacentral:lncRNA from 1 species
GUAGGAGCAGGAUGCCAGAAGAGUUGUCAGACUCUAGAUAUGUGAAUAUGUUCUGGUCCAGAACUACUGUGGUCAACAAGCUAUGGACCAGGGAACCUUCAGAGUCAUCACUGAGAACAUUCCAUGUGGCACUACAGGAACUACCUGCUCUAAGUCUAUUAAAGUUUUCCUGGGUGUAAGUAUUUUCUUUAAGUUGUGCCAGAAGGAUGGAACAAGCUGUCCCAGGUAGACUGCAUAGGAGAA